UACGUAGGGCGCAAGCGUUAUCCGGAAUUAUUGGGCGUAAAGAGCUUGUAGGCGGUUUGUCGCGUCUGCUGUGAAAAUCCGGGGCUCAACCCCGGACUUGCAGUGGGUACGGGGCAGACUAGAGUGUGGUAGGGGGAGACUGGAAUUCCUGGUGUAGCGGUGGAAUGCGCAGAUAUCAGGAGGAACACCGAUGGCGAAGGCAGGUCUCUGGGCAUUAACUGACGCUGAGGAGCGAAAGCAUGGGGGAGCGAACAGG
rnacentral:rRNA from 1 species